GGUGGCUGGGGGAGACUGUAGAGGAGUGAGUUUGGGGAUUGCGCACGCUGAGAGGGGGUGGUUCUCUGGGGUAGCAGAGUCAGCGGGCCCUCGACUCAGUCCCGGCCCCUUUCCCGCAGCCAGCCGUGAGCGAUCGGAACCACACAGCCCUAGCUGCAGCCUUCUGCACGGUCGGGCAGAUAGAAAACCUUACAGUUUGUCGCCCCCUGUCGUCCCCCGGCCGGGCUCCGCGGGUUCCCGAGCGGCAGGCUAGGCUGGGGAGAGGUGGCCCUAAGGUGAGAUUGCAGAAAGAAAAGAAACGUCUCUCGCACGUCCCAGGGAGGCAGCUUAGCCCUCUCCACGGCCCGGGGACAGCUUCUAGCCAGCUCUGAGCGCACAGAGGACACCUGUUGAACAUGCAGUGGAUGAUUUGCCAAUAGAAAUAUUUAUAAAUCAAGCCAUCUUAAAUUGUGUCUCGAGGAGAAAACAGCCUUAUUUUUCUGAGUCUCCAUUUGUUUGCCACGUUCUUCCCUGAUCUGAAAGCACUUCACAGGGCUGGGUUCAAGACCCUGAAGUGACGCUCCGUGGGGAGACAGGAUCAGCAGCGUCUAUUGCCAAUAGAAGAUGAGUGAUGGAGGUGGUAAGUGACAGCUAUAUGCUCUCCAGUUUCAGGAAGCCGAGGAAGAUGGCAAUCCACAGCUGGCCUGCAAUUUUCCUGUGGCAUGGGAGAGCUAUGGUUCUUCCUGAGGUCCGAUCCUCUUGAAAUGCUGGGCCCUACACUAAACAGGAAUCACCGGCUUGUUCUGGCUAAACCCACUGUAACAUCAAGCUCUUCCUUUGUCAGAAAGAAGAAUAUCUUUUACUUCUGU